rnacentral:rRNA from 1 species
AUUGAACGCUGGCGGCAGGCUUAACACAUGCAAGUCGAGCGGUAACAGAGAGAAGCUUGCUUCUCUGCUGACGAGCGGCGGACGGGUGAGUAAUGCCUAGGAAUCUGCCUAGUAGUGGGGGAUAACUUGCCGAAAGGUAAGCUAAUACCGCAUACGUCCUAUGGGAGAAAGGAGGGGACCUUCGGGCCUUUCGCUAUUAGAUGAGCCUAGGUCGGAUUAGUCAGGUGGUGAGGGAAUGGCUCACCAAGACCGCGAUCCGUAACUGGUCUGAGAGGAUGAUCAGUCACACUGGAACUGAGACACGGUCCAGACUACUACGGGAGGCAGCAGUGGGGAAUAUUGGACAAUGGGGGGAACCCUGAUCCAGCCAUGCCGCGGGUGUGAAGAAGGUCUUAGGAUUGUAAAGCACUUUAAGUUGGGAGGAAGAGCAGUUAACUAAUAUUUGACUGUUUUGACGUUACCGACAGAAUAAGCACCGGCUAACUUCGUGCCAGCAGCCGCCGUAA